rnacentral:rRNA from 1 species
AAUUAGCUUUUUAAUUGAGGGAUAGAAUGAAUGGUUUCACUAAAAAAUCAUAUUUAAGAAAUAUUUAUAGAAAUUUUAUUUUUGAUGAAAAUAUCAAAAAAAAUUUAUAAGACAAAAAGACCCUAUGAAGCUAUCAAUUAAAAUAAAAUUGAUUUUUUGGGGUAAAAUUUAAAAUUUUUAUUUAUUUUAUAAGCUUUAAUUGAUCCUUUUUGGAAGAAUGAACAAGCUCCUCUAGGGAUAACAGCAUAAUAAUUAAAAAAGUUCUUAUUAGAAUAAUUGU